GUGUUUGCUUCAGCAGCACAUAUACUAAAAUUGAAAUGAUACAGAGGAGAUUAGUAUGGCCCCUACGCAAGGAUGACAAGCAAAUUUCUGAAGAGUUCCAUAUUUUU